rnacentral:rRNA from 1 species
CGGAGCUAACGCGUUAAGUCGACCGCCUGGGGAGUACGGCCGCAAGGUUAAAACUCAAAUGAAUUGACGGGGGCCCGCACAAGCGGUGGAGCAUGUGGUUUAAUUCGAUGCAACGCGAAGAACCUUACCUACUCUUGACAUCCACGGAAUUCGGCAGAGAUGCCUUAGUACCUUCGGGAACCGUGAGACAGGUGCUGCAUGGCUGUCGUCAGCUCGUGUUGUGAAAUGUUGGGUUAAGUCCCGCAACGAGCGCAACCCUUAUCCUUUGUUGCCAGCGAUUCGGUCGGGAACUCAAAGGAGACUGCCGGUGAUAAACCGGAGGAAGGUGGGGAUGACGUCAAGUCAUCAUGGCCCUUACGAGUAGGGCUACACACGUGCUACAAUGGCGCAUACAAAGAGAAGCGACCUCGCGAGAGCAAGCGGACCUCACAAAGUGCGUCGUAGUCCGGAUCGGAGUCUGCAACUCGACUCCGUGAAGUCGGAAUCGCUAGUAAUCGUGGAUCAGAAUGCCACGGUGAAUACGUUCCCGGGCCUUGUACACACCGCCCGUCACACCAUGGGAGUGGGUUGCAAAAGAAGUAGG